CAUGGCUGGAAGCGAUAGUUUGCUUUCAGGAGUGUUUCUCGUCUUCUUGGACCUGGAGGUUGUGCCAUGUGGUUACCUGCAUGGAAGACGCUUGGAAGACACAGAUUCAGCACGUGCCUUUCGGGAAGGGGAAGCCCUCCUAGGCUCACCUCUUAGAUGCCGGCCCGGCCGAGAGGCCCCCUAAUCUGUCCAGAAGAGCUGCCUGGGUGAGCACCACCCUUGGGAAUGGGCCUCUGUGGCCUUGGACUUCUUAGUGACAACUUCGGCAAGAUCCUGGGCCGGGCCGG
rnacentral:lncRNA from 1 species